UGCAUGGGUUUUUAUUUCUUUCUGCGUGCUUUUCGCGCAUCUUCGUGACGUUCAGUUCGACCGGCGACGUUAGGGGAGCGUACUUCACCAUACAAGAGGCGUUCGACAAUGUCAAAGCCAAGACCAAGACGCCUGUACAAGCAAAGGUCAUGUUUCGUGCCGUUGUGUACGAGCGGAUACCGAACUAACACAAAGCGUGUCUCAAUGUUCUGCGCCCCACGCGACCCCGCGCGGCUUUCGGAGUGGGAGAAGAGAAUUAGGAGAGCGGACAAGAGGCUGACACCGGCAGCUGUGGUAUGUGAAAGACACUUCGAAGACAGUUGUAUCGAGCGCACCUUCAAGAUAGUCGUUGACGGCGUGGUAAACGAGAUCGCCAGGGACAUACCCCGCCUGAAGCCGGAUGCCGUCCCCACCGUUUUCGAAGAUUACUCUGCUCACCCCGUUCCCAAAAAGCCAUUCCAGCGGAAGGCGAUAAGCUUUUGUGAGCAAGAGGCAGCGCGUGGUUCGGGCGCGCGGAACGGAGAAACGAAGGCAGCUGAAUCGUGCUUUACCGUCGACGAAGAGUCGGACAGCCGCGACAACGUCUCCUUUUCGGGUGAAUCAGCGAGAUCCGCGGAAAGUGAGCAAGAGGAGCACCUCGGUUCCAGAGAAGGAGAGGCGGACACCACUUGUGAAAAACCGAGCGGAAACGGGCGCACGCGCACGCCUCCGAACUGUCGGAAAGGGCACGCGUUCGAUGACAUUCAGAUUCCAGAAACAUGGACGAGGGUGCCUUGUCUGUCAGAAGGCAGCCUAGCGUACGCCUGUUGCCAAAUGCAAGAAAAUAUUUUUUCGCAUCUGUUCCUAGAGAGGAUGGUUGUAUUUGGAGCAGCCUCGCCUGAUCAAGCUCCUGUCACUGCUACUGUUUACUUGAGGGGCAGGGAAAGUUUUAAGGAAGUUCUCAAAACGCGGUGCGAAGCAGAAGAAUUUAUCAAAGAUAUCGAUGCGGUGUCCUUAUGCAAUGGCUGUGGUGUGAAGCCAACCUCGGCCAAGUACACGUCGUACAGAGAGAUGUAUUUUGCAGAGAAAUGCCUUAUAAUUGCUGGUUCAAAAGGUGAAUCCUGCGUGCGCUGCAAACAUGCGCAGAAGCUUGCACAACGCAAAAUAGGCAAGGUAAAAAAUAAAGGUUCUGCUCGACGACCGGAAAUAUAAAAAUGCUCGUCACAGCUUCGGCCCAACAGUAAGGUGGCUCACAGAUGUACAGGCACAAGUGUGUUAAAAGAUUGACAUAAAAUGUCACAGUGACUGGACAUGCUUGACGAAAGAAUGUAGUCAUUUCUCAUGGGAAGCAGCUUGUAAAAAACUGCUUGCUUGCUGCUAGAAGAAAAUCACUAAAGGUGUGAAGUGGUGACAAGGAAACGGAUCGCACAGUGCUUGAUGUUGAGAAGCCGUAGGUGUUAUGAGGACAUCGGGCAAGAAAGUAUAACAUUUCUGCCAAACACGCAUGCCUCGAAAAGUGCCUUCAUAAAGUGUUCCCACAUCUCAUCAAGAAUGCGACCAUUUUGGGAGGAUACCUCACGUCAUUAUUUCAUGAGACUCUGCAGCCAUCGGAUUGUGGACACCUGCAGACUAUGUCACUGCCACAAGGAAUUGCCUUACGUUUGAUGUUAGAAUGCGGUUUUCCUGCCCCACAGUGCUUCCAUGAUGUUAAAUCUGGACCAGUGAAUAAAAAAAAUAUUCUCCCUAAA
rnacentral:misc_RNA from 1 species